UUCGCAAUGCCCGAAAGGGUGACGAAGCGACGCCGCGUGUGGGAAGAAGGCCUUCGGGUUGUAAACCACUGUCGGGAGUUAAGAAAUGCAAGGAUAUUAAUAGUGUCUUUGUUUGACUAAGGCUCCGGAGGAAGCCACGGCUAACUCUGUGCCAGCAGCCGCGGUAAUACAGAGGCGGCAAGCGUUGUUCGGAAUUAUUGGGCGUAAAGAGCACGUAGGCGGCUAUGUAAGUCGGUUGUGAAAGCCUUCCGCUCAACGGAAGAACAGCAUCCGAUACUACAUGGCUUGAGUGCGGGAGGGGAGAGUGGAACUUCUGGUGGAGCGGUGAAAUGCGUAGAUAUCAGAAGGAACGCCGGCGGCGAAAGCGGCUCUCUGGCCCAUAACUGACGCUGAGUGUGCGAAAGCUAGGGGAGCAAACGGGAUUAGAUACCCCGGUAGUCCUAGCCGUAAACGAUGGGCACUAAGUAGAGGGGUUUUA
rnacentral:rRNA from 2 species